GAGUAACACGUGGGCAACCUGCCUGUAAGUUGGGGAUAACUCCGGGAAACCGGGGCUAAUACCGAAUGAUAAAGUGUGGCGCAUGCCACGCUUUUGAAAGAUGGUUUCGGCUAUCGCUUACAGAUGGGCCCGCGGUGCAUUAGCUAGUUGGUAGGGUAAUGGCCUACCAAGGCAACGAUGCAUAGCCGACCUGAGAGGGUGAUCGGCCACACUGGGACUGAGACACGGCCCAGACUCCUACGGGAGGCAGCAGUAGGGAAUCUUCCGCAAUGGACGAAAGUCUGACGGAGCAACGCCGCGUGUAUGAAGAAGGUUUUCGGAUCGUAAAGUACUGUUGUUAGAGAAGAACAAGGAUAAAAGUAACUGCUUGUCCCUUGACGGUAUCUAACCAGAAAGCCACGGCUAACUACGUGCCAGCAGCCGCGGUAGUACGUAGGUGGCAAGCGUUGUCCGGAUUUAUUGGGCGUAAAGCGCGCGCAGGCGGUCUUUUAAGUCUGAUGUGUAAGCCCCCGGCUUAACCGGGGAGGGUC
rnacentral:rRNA from 1 species